AGCCGCGGGGAUUUCGACAGUGUGUAUUAGGAAGUAUAUCUAUGUGGUGUAUGGAAUAUGCGUUUGCCUACCAUGCCAGGCAGUGUGACAAGGGAUAUCCCAGCGGAUGUAAUAUUCCUACAGCAGAAAUGUUUCACAACCUCGAUUGCAGGGAGCUGAAGACGUGACAUAUUCAGACAGAGACCAUAAUACAUAGACUGUUAUAUGGUCUCUGAUUCAGGUGUGAAGAAUCAAGAACAAAUUAAAUGACAGGAGUUUUGCAACAGUGAACAUUGUGAAGUGGAAGAUAAGACAUUUGAAAGGAUUAGCUACAUCCCUUGAUGCUACCAAGGCAGCCC
rnacentral:lncRNA from 1 species